UUUAGAGAAUUAUUUACUAGUCAACUGAAAAACAGAAUAUUGCAUGUAUCUUUUUACCAGAACUUAAAUUAAUUGAGAAUUUUCUUUUUUGUUAGGUUUUGAUUGGGAACAGAAAGUAUUUCAAGCUACGAUUCCAGGAAAUACAGGACACAAAAUGUACAGUAGAUCAGCAUUCAUCAGUUGGAUUGUAUCUGGAGGUUAGUAAUGGCAUCCUUGAGAAUUCUCAGAUAGCACUGGAUAUCAAUGUAAUUGAAUUGAGGCUUCAGUGCAAAGCCAAUGAUCUUACAUGAAGAAUUCUCUGCUUUCUGCUGAGAACUAAUAGAAGUACAGCUACAAACUCUGUUUAACUCGAUGUGUAGUUGUUACUGAUUCAGUAAAUUAGAGAUUUAAUCAGUCUGUCAGAUCUGUGGUUUGUUUAUAAGAGAAGGAAAUAUACUGAAGCUGAAAACAGUGCAAAUGGUUCCAAAAAAUAAAGACAUAUUUGAACAGAAAAUUACCUUUUAC
rnacentral:lncRNA from 1 species